rnacentral:tRNA from 1 species
GUUAGCUCAAUGGAUAGAGUACCGGUCUUCGGAACCGAGGAUGUGGGUUCAAGUCCCUCAC